rnacentral:rRNA from 1 species
AUUGAGCGCUGGCGGCAGGCUUAACACAUGCAAGUCGAGCGGGGUGAUGGUGCUUGCACUAUCACUUAGCGGCGGACGGGUGAGUAAUGCUUAGGAAUCUGCCUAUUAGUGGGGGACAACAUCUCGAAAGGGAUGCUAAUACCGCAUACGUCCUACGGGAGAAAGCAGGGGAUCUUUAUGACCUUGCGCUAAUAGAUGAGCCUAAGUCGGAUUAGCUAGUUGGUGGGGUAAAGGCCUACCAAGGCGACGAUCUGUAGCGGGUCCGAGAGGAUGAUCCGCCACACUGGGACUGAGACACGGCCCAGACUCCUACGGGAGGCAGCAGUGGGGAAUAUUGGACAAUGGGGGGAACCCUGAUCCAGCCAUGCCGCGUGUGUGAAGAAGGCCUUAUGGUUGUAAAGCACUUUAAGCGAGGAGGAGGCUCUUUUGGUUAAUACCCAGAAUGAGUGGACGUUACUCGCAGAAUAAGCACCGGCUAACUCUGUGCCAGCCGCCGCCGUAACAC